CAAUAAGAUAAGAUAAAAUGAGAUAUAUAUAUAAAAAAGCAUAAGAAAUGAAAAGGAAAGAAAGAAAUAAAGUAAAUACAAGAAGAAUCAAGGAUACAUAAGAAACAAAGAAAGAGAUAAAGAUAAGGAAAAAUUACAAAGGUAAUUUAAAGCUAAAGAAAUAAAGGAGGUAUAAGGAAAGAAAAGGAAAUUAUAAGGAAAAAGGAAGACAAAAGAAAGAAAAGGUAGGUAAAUAGGAAUCAUGAAAAGUUAAGGAAGCACAGAAUGAAAGUGAAAGAGAAGAUAAGUAAUUAGACGGUUAGCUAAAUACUAAAAUAGAAAACAAAAACAAGAAACAUAAAAGUGAUUUAUAAGGUCAGCUAACAUUUAAUAAGUUUAAGACGGUAAAUUUUCUUUCCUCCUUAUUUGCAUUAUUAUUAAUAUUAUUUUUUUUUCUCUAGUGUCCUCCUUUUGUUUUGCACAGUUGAAGCUUGUCAACUACUCUGAUAGUCAAUGACAACCACUUGUUCUGUCGAUUUAGUAAGGUUAAGAACUUUAUUAUUAUUGUGUACUUUAGUACAAAGAAACCAAAUACGUCUACUCAUAACUUUGUCAAUAAAUAACCCAUCAUUUUAAAGCUUACAAUGUGGAAAAUAAGAAAAAAAUUUUUUUUGUGGUCAUUGAUGCAGGUCUUUGGGAUGGCAAACUUAACAUAUGUGGCAAAGACGAGCCAAACCAGUCACUUGUUGCAAAUCAGAGACAAUGGCCAAAACAUGCUGGAAUGUCAAAAUUUUUAAAAUCUAUUUUAUUGCAUUAAACUAAACCUCUAUAUACAUCAUACUAUGUGGUUAUUUUCCUAAUUUUCAAUGUUAAAACUACAAUUUUGGUGAUGGUUUCGAUGAUGGUUUCUGCAUGAGAUAGGAAUCAUGAAAAGUUAAGGAAGCACAGAAUGAAAGUGAAAGAGAAGAUAAGUAAUUAGACGGUUAGCUAAAUACUAAAAUAGAAAACAAAAACAAGAAACAUAAAAGUGAAUUAUAAGGUCAGCUAACAUUUAAUAAGUCUAAGAUGGUAAGUUUUCUUUCCUCCUUAUUUGCAUUAUUAUUAAUAUUAUUUUUUUUUCUCUAGUGUCCUCCUUUUGUUUUGCACAGUUGAAGCUUGUGAACUACUCUGAUAGUCAAUGACAACCACUUGUUCUGUCGAUUUAGUAAGGUUAAGAACUUUAUUAUUAUUGUGUACUUUAGUACAAAGAAACCAAAUACGUCUACUCAUAACUUUGUCAAUAAAUACCCCAUCAUUUUAAAGCUUACAAUGUGGAAAAUAAGAAAAAAAAAUAUUUUUGUGGUCAUUUAUGCCGGUCUUUGGGAUGGCAAACUUCACAUAUGUGGCAAAGACGAGCCAAACCAGUCACUUGUCGCAAAUCAGAGACGAUGGCCAAAACAUGCUGGAAUGUCAAAAUUUUUAAAAUCUAUUUUAUUGCAUUAAACUAAACCUCUAUAUACAUCAUACUAUGUGGUUAUUUUCCCAAUUUUCAAUGUUAAAACUACAAUUUUGGUGAUGGUUUUCGAUGAUGGUUUCUGCAUGAGAAAUGCCCAAAAUCGUAAACUUUGAGGGCUGAUUUCUCAAAUAUUGUUUUUUAAAAGCUGUAUGUUUGAACUCCUGUGACUUAAUAAAGAAAUGUCAAAUUUAAAUGAUUAUUUUAAAUUUUUUUAGCUUUCAUUGUACUGCUUAACCCAGUGUUAUUAACUAGAAAAUCGAUUUUUGCAAGGAGUAACUGGUUUGGCAUUUCUUUGCCACAUAUAUAGAAGGUUAAUUGUAACAAAGUAUAACACAUACUGUAGGUCUAGGUACUAUGAUGCACAUGUAUAAUGUUUUUCUUUAAAAAAAUAAUAAAAUAUAGUAUAGUGAAAAUCAGGCCAUUGAGGACCAAGGUUUCUCUACUAGUUUAGCAUCACUAGGAUAAAAAAAUUGGUGGGGGUGGGGGAACUUCCAGAAAAAAAGGACAGAACGCAUUUUUUGGCAGCCUUUUGUAAAACUGUAAUAAUUCCAAAUAGUACUAUUAUAGAAAUAAUGAUAUUGCUCACAGUGUUAUAACUUUAGAAUGUGUGCUAAAAAACAUGAGUUUUCUUGAAAUUAAUUACUGUUUUUACUGGAAUUUAAGAAAAGCACUCAUCAUCUGCCAAACUGCCCAUGCGUAAACCCUGUAUCACAUGGUAUUUCUCAAAUCUGUUUUGUUUGUUGCGUUAUGCUGCAUGCUUUGCACAGUAGGCUGUGAGUAGUAAUGACUUAGAAUGCCCUAGAGUUACCAAUAUUUUUUAGCUCAAUAUCAGCUGUUAUUAGUCACCAUAAGGCAAAAAAAAAAAUUGUGUUUGUCACGUUUUGGGAAAAAAUGGGUAGGUAGCUAGUGAAAGGUUUUUUUUUUUUUUAAACAAAAAUAGGUUUACGCCUAAAAAGUUGAAAAUACGACAAAUAAAACAAAGACCACUUUUGAAAUGAUUUCCAGGUUUAUUUUUUAUUUUGCAAAAUAAAUUAUCUUUUUCACUGUAAAACGACUCUAGGCCUGCUGUUAAUCUUGUCUCUAGGCCUGUUGUUAAUCUUGUCUCGCUUGUAAAACGGCUCUUGGCCUGUGGUGAAUUGCCUUUUUCCUGCCUCUUCACAUUCCUUACAAAUUGAGACCUGCCACCUCGAAAUGAGAGUAAAGUUGAACUUUAUGAAAAAUCAGAUGUAUAUAUUUUCUGAUUGUACAUUAUUUUAGCUUCAAAAUGGUGUUUAAAUUAAUCAAAUACAUUUAGAAAUAAGAGCGAUAUGAUUAAAUGAAGUCGCAUAAUACUAUAAAGGCCAGGUCACACCCACCCUGAUAAUGAUACCGAUACCGAUACGAUAAAAAUUAUCGGUGUGGUGUAAAUUAAUGGAAGUGGUCACACUAUAACGAUAACGAUACAAUUAUCGUGAGCGAUAAAGUUAUCGUAUCGGUCGAAUCACUUUUGAAGCGAUUUUUUUAAAUUUAUAGUUAUCGGCAACGAUAAACGUAUCAGCCAAUCAGAUGAGGGUAGUCAGGGAAAAUGAAAGUACUGUAGUCAACUUUCACACAUACUGGUUGACCGAACUUGCGACGCGAUGGACGAUCAAACUGAGCGCCUGAUUUUGGAGGUUCAGACACUAUCUUGUAUGAUAAAUCAAAUGCUGAUUGUAAAAGUGUUAACCAAAAAAGAGACGUUUGGCAAGAAAUUUGCCGCAGAGUUGGAAUGAGUGGAGACUUAGCCCGAAAGAAAUGGGCAAUCGUAUGGGAUACUUUCAACAGCUGCAGAAAGAAGGCUUCCUCAAGGAGUGGCGAUGCUGCCAAAGUAAUCAAACAAUAUAGAUUUGCAGGAAUUUUGACAUUUCUCACGCCGUACUUACAACAGAAGGAGACUUCAAGUAACCUCAAUGUAGAACUAGCCAACACUGAAAUAAGUUAUGAGGAAACUUUCAACAGAAUUGUAGACAACAUAACAGAAGAAAGCUUUUGAUUUGAUUAUAAUGAUGAUGAUUACCACCAAUCGCAACAGUCCCAUGUGCAGCAACAACAACCACCACAGCAGAUGCAA